rnacentral:rRNA from 1 species
AACGAACGCUGGCGGCAGGCCUAACACAUGCAAGUCGAGCGAACCCUUCGGGGUUAGCGGCGGACGGGUGAGUAACGCGUGGGAAUAUGCCCUUUGCUACGGAAUAGCCCCGGGAAACUGGGAGUAAUACCGUAUACGCCCUUUGGGGGAAAGAUUUAUCGGCAAAGGAUUAGCCCGCGUUGGAUUAGGUAGUUGGUGGGGUAAUGGCCUACCAAGCCGACGAUCCAUAGCUGGUUUGAGAGGAUGAUCAGCCACACUGGGACUGAGACACGGCCCAGACUCCUACGGGAGGCAGCAGUGGGGAAUCUUAGACAAUGGGGGCAACCCUGAUCUAGCCAUGCCGCGUGAGUGAUGAAGGCCCUAGGGUUGUAAAGCUCUUUCAGCUGGGAAGAUAAUGACGGUACCAGCAGAAGAAGCCCCGGCUAACUCCGUG